CUGGUUCUCCCCGAAAGCUAUUUAGGUAGCGCCUCGGACGAAUACUACUGGGGGUAGAGCACUGUUAAGGCUAGGGGGUCAUCCCGACUUACCAACCCUUUGCAAACUCCGAAUACCAGUAAGUACUAUCCGGGAGACACACGGCGGGUGCUAACGUCCGUCGUGGAGAGGGAAACAACCCAGACCGCCAGCUAAGGUCCCAAAGUAUUGCUAAGUGGGAAACGAUGUGGGAAGGCUCAGACAGCUAGGAUGUUGGCUUAGAAGCAGCCAUCAUUUAAAGAAAGCGUAAUAGCUCACUAGUCGAGUCGGCCUGCGCGGAAGAUGUAACGGGGCUAAGCAAUACACCGAAGCUGCGGCAAUGUCUUUUAGACAUUGGGUAGGGGAGCGUUCUGUAAGCCGUUGAAGGUGAAUCGUAAGGUUUGCUGGAGGUAUCAGAAGUGCGAAUGCUGACAUGAGUAACGACAAAGGGGGUGAAAAACCUCCUCGCCGGAAGACCAAGGGUUCCUGUCCAACGUUAAUCGGGGCAGGGUGAGUCGACCCCUAAGGUGAGGCCGAAAGGCGUAAUCGAUGGGAAACGGGUUAAUAUUCCCGUACUUCUGACUAUUGCGAUGGGGGGACGGAGAAGGCUAGGUGGGCCAGGCGACGGUUGUCCUGGUUCAAGUGCGUAGGCUUGAGAGUUAGGUAAAUCCGGCUCUCUCUAAGGCUGAGACACGACGUCGAGCUACUACGGUAGUGAAGUCAUUGAUGCCAUGCUUCCAGGAAAAGCCUCUAAGCUUCAGAUAGUCAGGAAUCGUACCCCAAACCGACACAGGUGGUCGGGUAGAGAAUACCAAGGCGCUUGAGAGAACUCGGGUGAAGGAACUAGGCAAAAUGGUACCGUAACUUCGGGAGAAGGUACGCUCUUGAUGGUGAAGUCCCUCGCGGAUGGAGCUGACGAGAGUCGCAGAUACCAGGUGGCUGCAACUGUUUAUUAAAAACACAGCACUGUGCAAAAUCGCAAGAUGACGUAUACGGUGUGACGCCUGCCCGGUGCCGGAAGGUUAAUUGAUGGGGUUAGCGCAAGCGAAGCUCUUGAUCGAAGCCCCGGUAAACGGCGGCCGUAACUAUAACGGUCCUAAGGUAGCGAAAUUCCUUGUCGGGUAAGUUCCGACCUGCACGAAUGGCGUAAUGAUGGCCACGCUGUCUCCACCCGAGACUCAGUGAAAUUGAAAUCGCUGUGAAGAUGCAGUGUACCCGCGGCUAGACGGAAAGACCCCGUGAACCUUUACUACAGCUUGGCACUGAACAUUGAACCUACAUGUGUAGGAUAGGUGGGAGGCUAUGAAGACGUGACGCCAGUUGCGUUGGAGCCGUCCUUGAAAUACCACCCUUGUAUGUUUGAUGUUCUAACUUAGACCCAUUAUCUGGGUUGAGGACAGUGCCUGGUGGGUAGUUUGACUGGGGCGGUCUCCUCCCAAAGAGUAACGGAGGAGCACGAAGGUGGGCUAAUCACGGUUGGACAUCGUGAGGUUAGUGCAAUGGCAUAAGCCCGCUUAACUGCGAGAAUGACGGUUCGAGCAGGUGCGAAAGCAGGUCAUAGUGAUCCGGUGGUUCUGUAUGGAAGGGCCAUCGCUCAACGGAUAAAAGGUACUCCGGGGAUAACAGGCUGAUACCGCCCAAGAGUUCAUAUCGACGGCGGUGUUUGGCACCUCGAUGUCGGCUCAUCACAUCCUGGGGCUGAAGUCGGUCCCAAGGGUAUGGCUGUUCGCCAUUUAAAGUGGUACGCGAGCUGGGUUUAGAACGUCGUGAGACAGUUCGGUCCCUAUCUGCCGUGGG
rnacentral:rRNA from 1 species